rnacentral:rRNA from 1 species
AUUGAACGCUGGCGGCAGGCCUAACACAUGCAAGUCGAACGAGCGGAGGGCGGGUGAGUAAUGUAUGGGGAUAUGCCCGAGAGAUGGGGAUAAGUACUGGAAACGGUGGCGAAUACAGCAUACUGUGGGAUUAACGCAUAGGGGAUUAGAUAGUAGGGCAGGUAAUUGCUCACCUAGGCGACGAUGCCUAGCUGGUCUGGGAGGAUGAUCAGCCACACUGGGACUGAGACACGGCCCAGACUCCUACGGGAGGCAGCAGUGGGGAAUAUUGCACAAUGGGCGCAAGCCUGACGCAGCCAUGCCGCGUGUAUGAAGAAGGCUCUAGGGUUGUAAAGUUCUUUCAGUCGGGAGGCGUUAUCUACAGAAGAAGCACCGGCUAACUCCGUGCCAGCAGCCGCGGUAAUAC